GCCAGGCGUGCUGGCACGUGCCUGUAGUCCCAGAUACUUGGGAAGUCGAGGUGGGAGGAUUGCUUGAGCCCUGGAGUGCUGGGCUGUAGUGCACUAUGCCAAUCAGGUGUCUGCACUAAGUUCGGCAUGAAUAUGGUGACCUCCCAGGAGCGGGGGACCACCAGGUUGCCUGAGGGGUGAACCUGCCCAGGUCGGAAAUGAAGCAGGUCAAAACUCACAUGCUGAUCAGUAGUGGGACUGCACCUGUGAAGAGCCACUGCAUUCCAGCCUGGGCAACAUAGCAAGAUCCAGUCUCC
rnacentral:SRP_RNA from 1 species